GAUGAACGCUGGCGGCGUGCCUAAUACAUGCAAGUCGAGCGAACGGAUGAGGAGCUUGCUCCUCUGACGUUAGCGGCGGACGGGUGAGUAACACGUGGAUAACCUACCUAUAAGACUGGGAUAACUUCGGGAAACCGGAGCUAAUACCGGAUAAUAUAUUGAACCGCAUGGUUCAAUAGUGAAAGACGGUUUUGCUGUCACUUAUAGAUGGAUCCGCGCCGCAUUAGCUAGUUGGUAAGGUAACGGCUUACCAAGGCAACGAUGCGUAGCCGACCUGAGGGGGUGAUCGGCCACACGGGAACUGAGACACGGUCCAGACUCCUACGGGAGGCAGCAGUAGGGAAUCUUCCGCAAUGGGCGAAAGCUUGACGGAGCAACGCCGCGUGAGUGAUGAAGGUCUUCGGAUCGUAAAACUCUGUUAUUAGGGAAGAACAAAUGUGUAAGUAACUAUGCACGUCUUGACGGUACCUAAUCAGAAAGCCACGGCUAACUACGUG
rnacentral:rRNA from 1 species